rnacentral:rRNA from 1 species
GACGAACGCUGGCGGCGUGCUUAACACAUGCAAGUCGAACGGAGAGGCCUGCUUUCCCUUGUGGAUUGCGGGUACUCGAGUGGCGAACGGGUGAGUAACACGUGAGUGAUCUGCCCCCAACUUGGGUAUAAGCCUGGGAAACUGGGUCUAAUUCCCGAUAGGACUGCAGGGUGGUGCCUGUGGUGGAAAACGAUUUUCUAGUGGUUGGGGAUGAGCUCGCGGCCUAUCAGCUUGUUGGUGGGGUAAUGGCCUACCAAGGCGGCGACGGGUAGCCGGCCUGAGGGGGUGGACGGUCACAUUGGGACUGAGAUACGGCCCAGACUCCUACGGGAGGCAGCAGUGGGGAAUAUUGCACAAUGGGCGGAAGCCUGAUGCAGCGACGCCGCGUGGGGGAUGACAGCCUUCGGGUUGUAAACUCCUUUCGACCGCGAGGAAGCCACCUGGUUGGAAGGGUGGUGACGGUAGUGGUAGAAGAAGCACCGGCUAACUACGUG